rnacentral:rRNA from 1 species
CCAAAUACGGCGUGCUAUACAUGCAAGUCGAGCGGACAGAUGGGAGCUUGCUCCCUGAUGUCAGCGGCGGACGGGUGAGUAACACGUGGGUAACCUGCCUGUAAGACUGGGAUAACUCCGGGAAACCGGGGCUAAUACCGGAUGCUUGAUUGAACCGCAUGGUUCAAUUAUAAAAGGUGGCUUUUACCUACCACUUACAAAUGGACCCGCGGCGCAUUACCUAGUGGGGGAGGUAACGGUUCACCAAGGCAACAAUGCGUACCCAACCUGAAAGGGGGAUCGGCCACACGGGGACUGAAACACGGCCCAAACUCCUACGGAAGGCAGCAGUAGGGAAUCUUCCGCAAGGAACAAAAGUCUGACGAACCACCGCCGCGGGAGUGAUGAAGGUUUUCGGAUCGAAAAACUCGGUUGUUAGGAAAAAACAAGUACCGUUCAAUUAGGGCGGUACUUUGACGGUACUUAACAAGAAGCAACGGUUACCUACUUGCCAGCAGCCGCGUUAUACGUAGGUGGCACCUUGUCCGGAUUAUGGGCGUAAGCGCGCGCAGGCGUUCUUAGUCUGAUGUGAAGCCCCGGCUCACCGGGAGGUCAUUGAACUGGGAACUUGAUGCAGAGAGGAGUGAAUUCACUGUAGCGUGAAUGCGUAAGAUGGAGGACCAUGCGAGCGACUCCUGUGACUGACGCUGAGCCGA